rnacentral:rRNA from 1 species
CGUAGGGGGCUAGCGUUGUCCGGAAUCAUUGGGCGUAAAGAGCGCGUAGGCGGCCCGGUAAGUCCGUUGUAAAAGUCGAAGGCUCAACCUUCGAAUGCCGAUGGAUACUGUCGGGCUAGAGUCCGGAAGAGGCGAGUGGAAUUCCUGGUGUAGCGGUGGAAUGCGCAGAUAUCAGGAGGAACACCGAUAGCGAAGGCAGCUCGCUGGGACGGUACUGACGCUAAGGCGCGAAAGCGUGGGGAGCGAACAGGAUUAGAUACCCUGGUAGUCCACGCCGUAAACGAUGGGCACUAGGUGUGGGAGGUGUCGACUCCUCCCGUGCCGACGCUAACGCAAUAAGUGCCCCGCCUGGGGAGUACGGCCGCAAGGCUA